AUUUGUAUUGCAUUUUCCUAGUUAAUAAAUCCAUGGAAAUCCAUCAUGAUCCAUCAUGAUAAAUCUAACCACUGAUUUACAUAACUAGGACUGGUGUCGUCCUUAAUUGAAGAUUUUGAGGGAGAUAGAUAUAAUACGAUGAUGUGCCCCAGUAUGAAUGCCAAUCACGAGUCAACUCUCCAUCCAAGUCAAUUAUUAAAGUAAAAUUGAAAAUGGGAAAUGUGUGAAAGAGACAACGUAACAACCCGACCAUAGAGCAGACAACAGCGGAAGGCCACCAAUGGUUCUACAAUGCAGCGAGAAACUCCCGCCACCGCCGAGGCGUCCAAGUUCAGCUGGCCCCUAAACAAAUAUGUAUAAUGACAAUCAAUCUGUAAAAUUAGUAUAAGCGCUCAUCCAUUAACAUGAUUAAGGAUUGAGACUGGUAGAUAUGCCAAACUUUAUGUGAAUAGGACACUGAGAAAAUGUUUAUACUGUACUUCAAAUAAAGUUGAAGAUGAGAUACACUUUCGGUAACUGCUGAAUGUCCACUAUAUAUUGAUUUUUUUACUGAAAUCAUUCUCUAAAUUGUAAAAAUUUUCAAUCUUUAGACAAUUUUUCAAAGUUUUUAUGGCUAUUUCCACAAGAAAAUUUAAAUGUGUAUAAAUUUUUAGGAAAGUAUUUAUCUAAAAAUCUAGAGAUAUGGAGAAGUUCAAAAA